UUAAGAUUGAAGUCCAAAUGUUUAUAUAAAAAAAUGGCUUUGGGCCAUAACAAUUUAAAAACCUAACCAAUUAAUAAUAUUACAAACUUGGGCUUACAACCAAAUGAGUCCAAAACAAUUUAAUUAAAAUAUGUUGAGCCCAAUACAUUUCCAAGAAUGUGGGAACAAGCCCAACAUCCUUUUUCUUCCCUUCCUUUCUCUCCCUCACGGCCGAUCACCCCCCAUGAAGACUCUCCACCUUUCAACUUCUCCACUCUCCAUCUUCCACAAUAAAUCCUCACAAUACACUCCUUGCAACAAGAACAGAGAGAGAGGGGCACGACAGCAGUGGUGGGCCGACGACGAAGGGAGUGAUGAUGAGUUGUAAUAACGAGAGGGAGGAGACGUCGAUGGCGGUUGGUGAACGGAGCUGAGACGGCUGGAGCUCAGCGGUGACGGAGAGGCAGCAGCGCCGCGGCGGUAGCAGCAGCAGAGACUGAGCGACAACUGUGGCGACGGGCUGGUCUCAACGCAGCAGCAUCAGGGAACGGCGGAGGAUCGACGGAUUUGAGAAGGGUACGCCGACAGCGAUGGCACAGUGAGGUCUCGGAGUCGCGAGCAGCAGCGGCGAUGCGACGUCGAAUGCACCGUGACAGCAGCUCACGGACCGCAGCUCGCGAACAGCAGCAACGGUGCCGGCGUCGAGUGGGAACAGCUCCGUGACCGGCGGACAGCAGCUCGCGUUGAUAAAUCAGCGGCCAAGAUGAGCAGCGACGGUGCUGUGAUGGAGACGGUGAGGAGAAAGGCCGGGGCAGCGGCGUGAACCAGCAAAGUGACGAUCUCGCCGCUGUGAUUACCACGACAAUGGUGCUGCAAAUUAAGUGAAGAAGAGAGAUUAGGAAUUUCACUCCUAUUUUGGCUUUUCACGUGAGGAAAUGGAUUACAUUAAAUCAAAGGGUGACUCUAUGCACGCUCCUCGAUAACGGAAUGGAAGACAAGUUAAGGCUUUAAACGAAUGAGGUUGAGCGUGGACGGGAGACGGAGGAUGUUGAGCAUUUGGACAAAGACAG